UUAACUGGAAGUGCCAAAAACUUUCUUAGUAAUGUUGGUGCAGAACUGUUUUUAGGUUGUGAUGCAUUGAGCUUAUGUUAUGGUUGGCCUUUACUACAAUUAAGUCAGUUUGUCUGUUUUCCCAUUACAGAGGUGAAGUUAUCAAACCAAGAGUGCUUGAGGCACAGGACUAAUUUCUACUGCAUUUGGCAACAUGAGUAUGAAUCACUUGAUCCACCAAGACUUGAACGAGCUGUGGAGGACAAGUAGUUGGUACCUGACAAAGGCCACUGUGAUGGGCAUUACUUGCACCGGGUACCACCUGGAAAACUCGCAGUUGUGCCCCGAAUGAUUGUGCACCGUCCUCUAAUCACUCGAACGUGAUGCCACACUUACAACUACUGUGGGACUAGGUGGUUUCAAUAUCAUACUUGUGAAGCUGACUUUCAUGAACUAUAGUCUCACGCCAUUUUUCUGUAUCAAACCAUGUAUAAUAAAAUUAUGAAAAAUCCA